ACGCACGCUGGCGGCGUGCUUAACACAUGCAAGUCGAACGAAGAGCGAUGGAAGCUUGCUUCUAUCAAUCUUAGUGGCGAACGGGUGAGUAACGCGUAAUCAACCUGCCCUUCAGAGGGGGACAACAGUUGGAAACGACUGCUAAUACCGCAUACGAUCUAAUCUCGGCAUCGAGGAUAGAUGAAAGGUGGCCUCUACAUGUAAGCUAUCACUGAAGGAGGGGAUUGCGUCUGAUUAGCUAGUUGGAGGGGUAACGGCCCACCAAGGCGAUGAUCAGUAGCCGGUCUGAGAGGAUGAACGGCCACAUUGGGACUGAGACACGGCCCAGACUCCUACGGGAGGCAGCAGUGGGGAAUCUUCCGCAAUGGACGAAAGUCUGACGGAGCAACGCCGCGUGAGUGAUGACGGCCUUCGGGUUGUAAAGCUCUGUUAAUCGGGACGAAAGGCCUUCUUGCGAACAGUUAGAAGGAUUGACGGUACCGGAAUAGAAAGCCACGGCUAACUACGUG
rnacentral:rRNA from 1 species